CUUACCGGAGGCGCAAUGGAUCCCGAUCCCACCCCUCUCCCUGAACGGAGAAUUCUCUUCCGGUAAGCCUGCCUGCGCUGUCUUGCCGGAAACGGCAGGCAGCGACGCA
rnacentral:ncRNA from 1 species